UACGUAGGGGGCAAGCGUUGUCCGGAAUCAUUGGGCGUAAAGAGCGUGUAGGCGGCUCGAUAAGUCUGCUGUGAAAGUCCGGAGCUCAACUCCGGAUCGGCGGUCGAUACUCUCGUGCUUGAGCACUGUAGAGGCAGAUGGAAUUCCGGGUGUAGCGGUGGAAUGCGUAGAGAUCCGGAAGAACACCGGUGGCGAAGGCGGUCUGCUGGGCAGUUGCUGACGCUGAGGCGCGACAGCGUGGGGAGCAAACAGG
rnacentral:rRNA from 1 species